CCCCCCAAUCCUCCCUUUUCCUACUAGGUAGCAACCCCCCUCCCUUCCCCCCCCCCCAUUUGUAUGUGAGCAUGCGGGCAGGAGAUAGUCUUUUGUUUCAACUUGACCUCUACCUCAUGGUGACCCUUUCUUGGGGGGGGGGGGAAGGGGGGCGUGGAGAAGGAGGAGAGGGUAAGGGGAGACUUUUGCAGACACAGCCCUUAUACAUCAAGAGGUUGCCUAUAGGAGGAAGCCGAUGGCUGCAGCAUCCAGCGCAUUAUUACCUUGCGAUGCCAUGACCCUCCUCCAUGCAUCCCUAACUCUUUAAAGCUGAUUCAGCUAGCGCUCUGGAGGCUCCCCUGCUGCAACAGAAUCUCCUCACUGGUAAACCACAAUCGGCCUCAGCUGCUGCAGAGUUCAACCGGAUGGCUUUUUCCUGACACUGAAAGAAAAAAAGAAAGUCAAGACCUUCUCUCUCUGGGGCUCUUCUCUUUGGGAGGCAAAGGAAAUCCUGGACUUACUAGAAAUGGUUUUAUUGAAACUGUUCAUGGUGCUGUCAUCUCUAUGGUCAACUACAUGAGUCAGGGGUACUGCUGCAAGCAGCAGUUCCAAGUCUUCAAGAGGGCGAAGGAAAGAGGAAUGAAUGAACAGUUCCUCGGCCACUGGUGCUGCUUGUGGAAUAAGCCUAAGGAAACAGAUUCUUCUUUCUCCUUCUCCCCGCCUUCCACCAAUAACAUCUUUUGUUUCUCUCUCUCUCCCAUUAAAGUGACCUUAUGCUCUUAAGGACUUGGCACCAGGCAAAGCACCCAAUCUAGCUAUAAUGAGCAUUGAUGUUAUGCUAAUGACUUAAAGAAAAUCACUGAG